GAUGAACGCUAGCGGCAGGCUUAAUACAUGCAAGUCGAGGGACAGCACAGGUAGCAAUACUGGGUGGUAACCGGCAAACGGGUGCGGAACACGUACACAACCUUCCUUUAAGUGGGGGAUAGCCCAGAGAAAUUUGGAUUAAUACCCCGUAAUAUAGUUGAAUGGCAUCAUUUGAUUAUUAUAGCUACGGCGCUUAAUUAUGGGUGUGCGGCUGAUUAGAUAGUUGGCGGGGUAACGGCCCACCAAGUCUACGAUCAGUAGCUGAUGUGAGAGCAUGAUCAGCCACACGGGCACUGGGACACGGGCCCGACUCCUACGGGAGGCAGCAGUAAGGAAUAUUGGUCAAUGGACGCAAGUCUGAACCAGCCAUGCCGCGUGAAGGAUUAAGGUCCUCUGGAUUGUAAACUUCUUUUAUUUGGGACGAAAAAGGGCCUUUCUAGGUCAACUGACGGUACCAGAUGAAUAAGCACCAGCUAACUCCGUGCCAGCCGCCGCGGUAACAC
rnacentral:rRNA from 1 species